rnacentral:lncRNA from 1 species
UGGGCGGCUUAGGGUUGGGCGUGGGGUGGUUUGGGCACCGCUGGGGGCGGCGGCCUGGUGGUUAGCGGCGAUGGUGUGGAGGCAGGGGCGGCAACACUAGGACAGGGUGGCAGCAUGGGAGAGAGAAGACAGGGAAGUGGCGCAUAGGAGAGAGAGAGAGAGAAGAGAAGGGGGUAGGGAAAUAUAUUUUUUUCUUAAGAUUGAAGGUUACAUCAUCCCUCUGUUUAUAGUCCUG